GAUGAACGCUGGCGGCGUGCCUAAUACAUGCAAGUCGAGCGAACAGAUGAGGAGCUUGCUCCUCUGACGUUAGCGGCGGACGGGUGAGUAACACGUGGAUAACCUACCUAUAAGACUGGGAUAACUACGGGAAACCGGAGCUAAUACCGGAUAAUAUAUUGAACCGCAUGGUUCAAUAGUGAAAGACGGUUUUGCUGUCACUUAUAGAUGGAUCCGCGCCGCAUUAGCUAGUUGGUAAGGUAACGGCUUACCAAGGCAACGAUGCGUAGCCGACCUGAGAGGGUGAUCGGCCACACUGGAACUGAGACACGGUCCAGACUCCUACGGGAGGCAGCAGUAGGGAAUCUUCCGCAAUGGGCGAAAGCCUGACGGAGCAACGCCGCGUGAGUGAUGAAGGUCUUCGGAUCGUAAAACUCUGUUAUUAGGGAAGAACAAAUGUGUAAGUAACUAUGCACGUCUUGACGGUACCUAAUCAGAAAGCCCCGGCUAACUACGUG
rnacentral:rRNA from 1 species